GUUCUUCCCCUGGACCUUCUCUGCGAGAUUCUGCAGUGCCUCCCCACCGAGCCGCUGUACCGCUUCCGCGCCGUCUGCAGGUCAUGGCGGCGCCUACUGUGCCACCCGGACUUCAUCGCCGCCGCCCACAAUCCUGGCCGCAUGCUUCUCGCCAUGGGAUUGUCCAGAAGCUACUCCUCGAUCUACGAGGCCGUCAACAUCCUCGACAUGGAGUCCGACGACGCCGUCAUGCCGUUCAGCUACAAGCUGCGUCCGUACGGCGAGACGCCCGCCAUGAGUCAUGACCGCGUGGUCUACGUUGUUGUCAGCCACGACGAUCAACUUUACCUUCUCGACCUCUCCAACGGCUUUGCCUCCCUUUUGCCUGACCCUGCACUACAUAAAGACUACGAAUGCUACUCGUUCACCGUUGGGGCCGUAACCUCCACUGGAGAGCACAAGGUGUUCUCCAUCCACACCUCACUGUGCCGCCACGAGCCGCAGGUCUGCAAGAUCCUCACCAUGACUGGCGGCGGCUGGAGGGAUACAGGUAACCCUCCACUAAAGGCGGUAUCAGGCUGGGGCGGCGUCCCUACCAUCAAUGGAGUUGCAUACUUUGAACCUAGUCGGGACUGGUACUCGGCGUCCAAGGACCUAAACACACAGCUGGUCAUGGCGUUCGACCUCGACAGCGAAACAUGGCGGUCGGAAGCCUUCCAAGGCCCCGCAAACCGCCCGGGCGCCAGCUUGGUUGAGAUGAACGGCCACCUGGUCGCAAGCUAUGUCGACCACGACCGGCAAUUAGUUGAGUUAUGGUUCCUGGUGGACCCAGACCUAUCUCUAUGGUCCAGGAGAUACACCAUCACCAUGCCUUGCCACCAAAAUCCCGGGCACAGGGAGUGGUUGAUGAAGCCAUUGGCGAUUCUCGAUGAUGGGAGGAUCGUGUUGUGGAUGCGGGUACACUUGCCGGGGUUCGACCCCGGGGAUGCGGUGCGACGGAUCUAUGACCCAAGAACCAAGACAUUUGGGGCCAGGAAAAGGGUGCCGGUAUGCAGCAGAAUAAGUGCUUUUGCGUGGAACUUGUUGCAUUCA
rnacentral:rRNA from 1 species